rnacentral:rRNA from 1 species
UGGGGAAUAUUGGACAAUGGGGGCAACCCUGAUCCAGCGAUGCCGCGUGGGUGAAGAAGGCCUUCGGGUUGUAAAGCCCUUUAGGUUGGGAAGAAGUUUGGAGACUGAAUAAGUUUUCAGAUUGACGGUACCGACAGAAUAAGCACCGGCAAACUCUGUGCCAGCAGCCGCGGUAAUACAGAGGGUGCGAGCGUUAAUCGGAAUUACUGGGCGUAAAGGGCGCGUAGGCGGCUAUAAGAGUGUGAUGUGAAAGCCCCGGGCUUAACCUGGGAAGUGCAUCGCAAACGUUAUAGCUGGAGUAUAUGAGAGGGUGGCGGAAUUUCCGGUGUAGCGGUGAAAUGCGUAGAGAUCGGAAGGAACGUCGAUGGCGAAGGCAGCCACCUGGCAUAAUACUGACGCUGAGGCGCGAAAGCGUGGGUAGCGAACAG